rnacentral:rRNA from 1 species
AAUUAAGACCCCUUGAAGACGACAAGGUAGAUAGGGCCAAGGUGUAAGUGCAGUAAUGCAUUCAGCUGAUGGUUACUAAUAGGUCGAGGGCUUAACCAA